GGUGUUGUAGCUCAGUGGAAGAGUGCUUGUCUACGAAGUGUGAGGCACUGGUUUGAUUCUCAGCACCA
rnacentral:tRNA from 1 species